rnacentral:rRNA from 1 species
CAGUCGCCACGGUAAUACGUAGGUGGCAAGCGUUGUCCGGAAUUAUUGGGCGUAAAGCGAGCGCAGGCGGUUAGAUAAGUCUGAAGUUAAAGGCUGUGGCUUAACCAUAGUACGCUUUGGAAACUGUUUAACUUGAGUGCAAGAGAGGAGAGUGGAAUUCCAUGUGUAGCGGUGAAAUGCGUAGAUAUAUGGAGGAACACCGGUGGCGAAAGCGGCUCUCUGGCUUGUAACUGACGCUGAGGCUCGAAAGCGUGGGGAGCAAACAGGAUUAGAUACCCCCGUAGUCCCUGUCUCUUAUACA